rnacentral:misc_RNA from 1 species
GAAUGAGAUUCGACUCGAGGGCGUAAAACCUCUCGAGUCGUCAACCUCCACCCUUGUGUAUCAUUCAAUUGUUGCUUUGGUGGGCCGCGAACCUAACGGUGAGCACCGGCUUCGGCUGGAGAGUGCCUGCCAGAGGACCCAAAACUCUGAAUGUUAGUGUCGUCUGAGUACUAUAUAAUAGUUA